GACGAACGCUGGCGGCGUGCUUAACACAUGCAAGUCGAACGCUGAAGCUUGGUGCUUGCACUGGGUGGAUGAGUGGCGAACGGGUGAGUAAUAAGUGAGUAACCUGCCCUUGACUCUGGGAUAAGCCUGGGAAACUGGGUCUAAUACUGGAUACGACAUGUCACCGCAUGGUGGUGUGUGGAAAGGGUUUUACUGGUUUUGGAUGGGCUCACGGCCUAUCAGCUUGUUGGUGGGGUAAUGGCUCACCAAGGCGACGACGGGUAGCCGGCCUGAGAGGGUGACCGGCCACACUGGGACUGAGACACGGCCCAGACUCCUACGGGAGGCAGCAGUGGGGAAUAUUGCACAAUGGGCGGAAGCCUGAUGCAGCGACGCCGCGUGAGGGAUGAUGGCCUUCGGGUUGUAAACCUCUUUCAGCACGGAAGAAGCGAAAGUGACGGUACGUGCAGAAGAAGCGCCGGCUAACUACGUG
rnacentral:rRNA from 1 species